rnacentral:rRNA from 1 species
CCUACGGGAGGCAGCAGUGAGGAAUAUUGGUCAAUGGCCGUGAGCCUGAACCAGCCAAGUCGCGUGAGGGAAGACUGCCCUAUGGAUUGUAAACCUCUUUUGUCCGGGAGCAAAGGUCGCCACGCGUGGCGGUUUGAGGGUACCCCAAGAAUAAGCACCGGCUAAUUCCGUGCCAGCAGCCGCGGUAAUACGGAGGGUGCGGGCGUUAUCCGGAUUUAUUGGGUUUAAAGGGAGCGUAGACGGGUCAUUAAGCGUGGCGUGAAAUGUCGGGGCUCAACCAGGGGACUGCGCGGGGAACUGGUGAACGUGAGUGCGGGGGAGGUAAGCGGAAUUCGUGGUGUAGCGGUGAAAUGCGUAGAUAUUACGAAGAACCCCGGUGGCGAAGGCAGCUUGCUGGAGUGUUACUGACGUUGAAGCUCGAAAGCGUGGGGAGCGAACAGGAUUAGAUACCCGAGUAGUC